CCCUGUAUCGAAAGGUGGUCUCAGCGUGCUCGUGGCUGAGGUCAUUAUUAAUACAGGAAGAUAAAUCUGAGAGAAUUCCCGUGUUUGGAGGACUGCCAGUUCCUCUCAGACCCUGAUCCUCUCAGACA
ensembl:snoRNA SNORA71 Small nucleolar RNA SNORA71